GGCCGAAUGCUCGGCCGGUUGCGUGCGACUCGCACAACUCCACUUGAACAAAAACGAUGCCCACAACCCACGUGACCACAAUAGCCUAGCCCACCUGGCCCACAACCACUCGUUCCUCUUGUCCUUAUCCAGCACUGACACUUCUCGUCCACUCUUCACCCCGUUUCUCAUCCCCUAUCUCUAGCGAGUGGCCAAAUCAAGCCGUCGGAGAAAUCACCUCCGCUCCCAUGCCCCCAUGCGCUGCUCCUCAUUCUUGAAUCAAGCCCUCUCAAUUUCUCAUCUCGCCCUGUCUCCUAACUCUAUUUAUCAGCCACGCCGACCGGAAUCCCCUACAAGCACCGGCGGGCCGGCGCCACCGCACCCAAAACUCCCUGCCACACUGCAACCUGAGUUGGUGGAAGUUGGAACUUCCAUCUUGUCGAGCUGCAACCGGGCAACAAAAGAGUUGCAACAGGGCGAGCGGUUUGCGAGUCGUGUCGAGGAUGCUGGAACCGUCGACGUGAGGUGCUACCACAUGCGUUUGGUUUUGCUGGAGCCAAUAUUCUUUUUUGCUACCAUGGGUGUUUGGUUUUGCUGGAACCACCGCCAAAUUUGCAAGUUUGCUACCACUAACUUUCUGGUUUGCUGGAACGAGCUUGAUUUUUUGCUACAUCCGUGUUUUUCUACUUUUGCUGGGGCACAGUUUCCAGUUUUUAUUUCACAAGUUUUGCUACCACUGUCUUCUUGUUUUGCUGGAUCCAAUGCAUUUUUUUGCUACAAUCAGGUGGGUGGGAGCUGCAUCGUCAGCUCCUGGCUGGAACCAGCAACGCGAAUAGCUGCUACUGGAGAUUUUUGCUUCAAAGGCGAUGGGACCUAGAGAUGCUGGAACCAAAUUUCUUCAUGAGGUGCAGCGGCGAGGCACUUUUUUGAUCUUUUGCUGCCAUUGUGUUUUUUGCUAGAACCAUCGGUUGAUUUUGCUACAACGAGCAUUUGAUUUUGCUGGAACCGCCUGAAGCAGAGCUGAUUUUUGUUGCAACCAUCCAGUCCGCAGCGGGCCUGGCGAGCGGCGACGGCUAGCCGGUAAACGGUCCCGGCCAGCCGACGAGCGGUGGCCACAGAGCUACAACCAUCGCCACCGGGAGCUGCAACUGCGUGCUCACGUUGCUGACGAGAAACGCAGGCGGCGACGGCAGUGACCGGUGAUGAUGACGGCGACCCGCGGCGAGGGCAGCGACAGGGGAGAGGCGCGGGGAAGUGCUCCGAGGCUGGUGCGUCGUCAUCUAUGGAGGCUCGUUGGGAACUUUUUUUAAAUAAAGAA
rnacentral:rRNA from 1 species